GAUGAACGCUAGCGGCAGGCUUAAUACAUGCAAGUCAAGGGGGUAGCAAUACAACCGGCGCACGGGUGAGUAACGCGUACACAACAUACCAUAUACUGGAGUAUAGCUUUGGGAAACUGAAGGUAAUCCUCCAUAACAUUGCGAGAGGGCAUCUGAUUGCAGUUAAAGUUUCGGCGGUAUAUGAUUGGUGUGCGUUUGAUUAGCUAGUUGGUAGGGUAACGGCCUACCAAGGCGACGAUCAAUAGCUGGCGUGAGAGCGCGACCAGCCACACUGGAACUGAGACACGGUCCAGACUCCUACGGGAGGCAGCAGUAGGGAAUAUUGGACAAUGGAGGAAACUCUGAUCCAGCCAUGCCGCGUGAUAGAUGAAGGCCCUCUGGGUUGUAAAUAUCUUUUAUCUGGGAAGAAACACUCCUAUUCUUAGGAACUUGACGGUACCAGAGGAAUAAGCACCGGCUAACUCCGUGCCAGCAGCCGCGGUAAAGUAGUCG
rnacentral:rRNA from 1 species